rnacentral:rRNA from 1 species
GAUGAACGCUAGCGGCAGGCCUAACACAUGCAAGUCGAGGGGUAGAAUUAGCUUGCUAAUUUGAGACCGGCGCACGGGUGCGUAACGCGUAUGCAAUCUACCUUGUACAGGGGGAUAGCCCAGAGAAAUUUGGAUUAAUACCCCAUGGUAUAAUUAAAUCGCAUGGUUUGAUUAUUAAAGUUCCAACGGUACAAGAUGAGCAUGCGUCCCAUUAGCUAGUUGGUGUGGUAACGGCAUACCAAGGCGACGAUGGGUAGGGGUCCUGAGAGGGAGAUCCCCCACACUGGUACUGAGACACGGACCAGACUCCUACGGGAGGCAGCAGUGAGGAGUAUUGGUCAAUGGUCGGAAGACUGAACCAGCCAUGCCGCGUGCAGGAAGACGGUCCUAUGGAUUGUAAACUGCUUUUGUACGGGAAGAAACACUCCUUCGUGAAGGAGCUUGACGGUACCGUAAGAAUAAGGAUCGGCUAACUCCGUGCCAGCAGCCG